CACACUUGUUGGCUGGUCAACACUGUUGACUAAAGGGAGGGCAUUUUUUUAAAUUGCAUUUUAAGUUUUGGGGUACAUGUGAAGAACAUGCAAGAUAGUUGCAUAGGUACACACGUGCAGUGUGAUUUGAUGCCUUCCUCCCCUUCACCUAUUUACACUCCCACCAACAGUGUAAAAGUGUUUCUUUUUCUCCACAUCCUCUCCAGCAUCUGUUGUCUCCAGAUUUUUUAAUGAUCGCCAUUCUAACUGGCGUGAGAUGGUAUCUCAAUGUGGUUUUGAUUUGCAUCUCUCUGAUGAGCAUUUUUUCAUAUGAUUGUUGGCCUCAUAUAUGUCUUCUUUCGUAAAGUAUCUGUUCAUAUCCUUUGCCCACUUUUGAAUGGGCUUUUUUGUUUUUUCCUGUAAAUCUGCUUGAGCUCUUUGUAAAUUCUGGAUAUCAGCCCUUUGUCAGAUGGGUAGACUGCGAAAAGUUUUUCCCAUUCCGUUGGUUGCCGAUCCACUCUAGUGACUGUUUCUUUUGCCGUGCAGAAGCUGUGGAGUUUCAUUAGGUCCCAUUUGUCUAUUUUGGCUUUUGUUGCCAAUGCUUUUGGUGUUUUGUUCAUGAAGUCCUUGCCUACUCCUAUGUCCUGGAUAGUUUUGCCUAGAUUUCCUUCUAGGGUUUUUAUGGUGCCAGGUCUUAUGUUUAAGUCUUUAAUCCAUCUGGAGUUAAUUUUAGUGUAAGGUGUCAGGAAGGGGUCCAGUUUCUGCUUUCUGCACAUGGCUAGCCAGUUUUCCCAACACCAUUUGUUAAACAUGGAAUCCUUGCCCCAUUGCUUGUUUUUGUCAGGUUUAUCAAAGAUUGUAUAGUUGUAUGUAUGUUGUGUUGCCUCCGUUGCCUCUGUUUUGUUCCAUUGGUCUAUAUCUCUGUUUUGGUACCAGUACCAUGCUGUUUUGAUUACUGUAGCCUUGUAGUAUAGUUUGAAAUCCGGUAGUGUGAUGCCCCCCGCUGUGUUCUUUUUGCUUAGAAUUGACUUGGCUAUGCGGGCUCUCUUUUGGUUCCAUAUGAAGUUCAUGGUGGUUUUUCCAGUUCUGUGAAGAAAGUCAAUGGUAGCUUGAUGGGGAUAGCAUUGAUUCUGUAAAUUACUUUGGUCAGUAUAGCCAUUUUCACGAUAUUAAUUCUUCCUAACCAUGAACAUGGAAUGUUUCUCCAUCUGUUUGUGUCCUCUCUAAUUUUGUUGAGCAGUGGUUUGUAGUUCUCCUUGAAGAGGUCCCUUACGUUCCUUGUGAGUUGUAUUCCAAGGUAUUUUAUUCUUUUUGUAGCAAUUGCGAAUGGCAGUUAGCUCUUGAUUUGGAUUUCUUUAAGUCUGUUAUUGGUGUAUAGGAAGGCUUGUGAUUUUUGCACAUUGAUUUUAUAUCCUGAGACUUUGCUGAAGUUGUUUAUCAGUUUCAGGAGUUUUUGGGCUGAGGCAAUGGGGUCUUCUAGGUAUACUAUCAUGUCGUCUGGAAAUAGAGACAAUUUGACUUCCACCUUUCCUAUUUGAAUACCCUUUAUUUCUUUUUCUUGCCUGAUUGCUCUGGCUAGAACUUCCAGUACUAUAUUGAAUAGGAGUGGUGAGAGAGGGCAUCCUUGUCUAGUGCCAGAUUUCAAAGAGAAUGCUUCCAGUUUUUGCCCAUUCAGUAUGAUAUUGGCUGUUGGUUUGUCAUAAAUAGCUUUUAUUACUUUGAGAUACGUUCCAUCGAUACCGAGUUUAUUGAGGGUUUUUAGCAUAAAGGGCUGUUGAAUUUUGUCAAAUGCCUUCUCUGCGUCAAUUGAGAUAAUCAUGUGGUUUUUGUUUUUGGUUCUGUUUAUGUGGUGAAUUAAGUUUAUAGACUUGCGUAUGUUGAACCAGCCUUGCAUCCUC
rnacentral:lncRNA from 1 species